AUACUUACCUGGCAAAGGAGAUAAUGUGAUCAGCAAGGCGAUUCUCCCAGCGCAAGGCUCAGCUAAUGUAUUCCAAAUGUGAAAAGAGUAACUGCAUAAAUUGUGAUAGGACUGCAUUCGUUCUGUUUGAUC
rnacentral:snRNA from 1 species